GAUGAAGAACGCAGCGAAAUGCGAUAAGUAGUGUGAAUUGCAGAAUUCAGUGAAUCAUCGAAUCUUUGAACGCACAUUGCGCCCCUUGGUAUUCCAUGGGGCAUGCCUGUUCGAGCGUCAUUUGUACCUUCAAGCUUUGCUUGGUGUUGGGUGUUUGUCCAUUCUCUUGCAGAGGGACUCGCCUUAAAGUAAUUGGCAGCCAGUGUUUUGGUUUUGAAGCGCAGCACAAGUCGCGAUUCAACGCUAUACGCCAGCUUCCACAAGCCUUUUUCACUUUUGACCUCGGAUCAGGUAGGGAUACCCGCUGAACUUAAGCAUAUCAAUCAGCGGAGGA
rnacentral:misc_RNA from 1 species